rnacentral:pre_miRNA from 1 species
GGCGUUCGAUGAAAUGUCCGCUACCCAUAUAUAUAUAUAUAUAUAUAUAUAUAUAUAUAUAUAUGGGUAGCGGACAUUUCAUCGAACGCC